GGUCUAUUAGCUCAAUUGGUUAGAGUGUCGUGUUAAUAAUGCGAAAGUCACAGGUUUGAUUCCUACUUGGGUCA
rfam:Glycine max cultivar Williams 82 chromosome 14, whole genome shotgun sequence.